AAGGUUAAGCCUCACGGUUCAUUAGUACCGGUUAGCUCAACGCAUCGCUGCGCUUACACACCCGGCCUAUCAACGUCGUCGUCUUCAACGUUCCUUCAGGACCCUUAAAGGGUCAGGGAGAACUCAUCUCGGGGCAAGUUUCGUGCUUAGAUGCUUUCAGCACUUAUCUCUUCCGCAUUUAGCUACCGGGCAGUGCCAUUGGCAUGACAACCCGAACACCAGUGAUGCGUCCACUCCGGUCCUCUCGUACUAGGAGCAGCCCCCCUCAGUUCUCCAGCGCCCACGGCAGAUAGGGACCGAACUGUCUCACGACGUUCUAAACCCAGCUCGCGUACCACUUUAAAUGGCGAACAGCCAUACCCUUGGGACCUACUUCAGCCCCAGGAUGUGAUGAGCCGACAUCGAGGUGCCAAACACCGCCGUCGAUAUGAACUCUUGGGCGGUAUCAGCCUGUUAUCCCCGGAGUACCUUUUAUCCGUUGAGCGAUGGCCCUUCCAUUCAGAACCACCGGAUCACUAUGACCUGCUUUCGCACCUGCUCGCGCCGUCACGCUCGCAGUCAAGCUGGCUUAUGCCAUUGCACUAACCUCCUGAUGUCCGACCAGGAUUAGCCAACCUUCGUGCUCCUCCGUUACUCUUUAGGAGGAGACCGCCCCAGUCAAACUACCCACCAGACACUGUCCGCAACCCGGAUUACGGGUCAACGUUAGAACAUCAAACAUUAAAGGGUGGUAUUUCAAGGUCGGCUCCAUGCAGACUGGCGUCCACACUUCAAAGCCUCCCACCUAUCCUACACAUCAAGGCUCAAUGUUCAGUGUCAAGCUAUAGUAAAGGUUCACGGGGUCUUUCCGUCUUGCCGCGGGUACACUGCAUCUUCACAGCGAGUUCAAUUUCACUGAGUCUCGGGUGGAGACAGCCUGGCCAUCAUUACGCCAUUCGUGCAGGUCGGAACUUACCCGACAAGGAAUUUCGCUACCUUAGGACCGUUAUAGUUACGGCCGCCGUUUACCGGGGCUUCGAUCAAGAGCUUCGCUUGCGCUAACCCCAUCAAUAACCUUCCGGCACCGGGCAGGCGUCACACCGUAUACGUCCACUUUCGUGUUUGCACAGUGCUGUGUUUUUAAUAAACAGUUGCAGCCAGCUGGUAUCUUCGACUGAUUUCAGCUCCAUCCGCGAGGGACUUCACCUACAUAUCAGCGUGCCUUCUCCCGAAGUUACGGCACCAUUUUGCCUAGUUCCUUCACCCGAGUUCUCUCAAGCGCCUUGGUAUUCUCUACCUGACCACCUGUGUCGGUUUGGGGUACGAUUUGAUGUUACCUGAUGCUUAGAGGCUUUUCCUGGAAGCAGGGCAUUUGUUGCUUCAGCACCGUAGUGCCUCGUCAUCACGCCUCAGCCUUGAUUUUCCGGAUUUGCCUGGAAAACCAGCCUACACGCUUAAACCGGGACAACCGUCGCCCGGCCAACAUAGCCUUCUCCGUCCCCCCUUCGCAGUAACACCAAGUACAGGAAUAUUAACCUGUUUCCCAUCGACUACGCCUUUCGGCCUCGCCUUAGGGGUCGACUCACCCUGCCCCGAUUAACGUUGGACAGGAACCCUUGGUCUUCCGGCGAGCGGGCUUUUCACCCGCUUUAUCGUUACUUAUGUCAGCAUUCGCACUUCUGAUACCUCCAGCAUACCUCACAGCACACCUUCACAGGCUUACAGAACGCUCCCCUACCCAACAACGCAUAAGCGUCGCUGCCGCAGCUUCGGUGCAUGGUUUAGCCCCGUUACAUCUUCCGCGCAGGCCGACUCGACCAGUGAGCUAUUACGCUUUCUUUAAAUGAUGGCUGCUUCUAAGCCAACAUCCUGGCUGUCUGGGCCUUCCCACAUCGUUUCCCACUUACCAUGACUUUGGGACCUUAGCUGGCGGUCUGGGUUGUUUCCCUCUUCACGACGGACGUUAGCACCCGCCGUGUGUCUCCCGUGAUAACAUUCUCCGGUAUUCGCAGUUUGCAUCGGGUUGGUAAGUCGGGAUGACCCCCUUGCCGAAACAGUGCUCUACCCCCGGAGAUGAAUUCACGAGGCGCUACCUAAAUAGCUUUCGGGGAGAACCAGCUAUCUCCCGGUUUGAUUGGCCUUUCACCCCCAGCCACAAGUCAUCCGCUAAUUUUUCAACAUUAGUCGGUUCGGUCCUCCAGUUAGUGUUACCCAACCUUCAACCUGCCCAUGGCUAGAUCACCGGGUUUCGGGUCUAUACCCUGCAACUUAACGCCCAGUUAAGACUCGGUUUCCCUUCGGCUCCCCUAUUCGGUUAACCUUGCUACAGAAUAUAAGUCGCUGACCCAUUAUACAAAAGGUACGCAGUCACACAGAUUGCUCUGUGCUCCCACUGCUUGUACGUACACGGUUUCAGGUUCUUUUUCACUCCCCUCGCCGGGGUUCUUUUCGCCUUUCCCUCACGGUACUGGUUCACUAUCGGUCAGUCAGGAGUAUUUAGCCUUGGAGGAUGGUCCCCCCAUAUUCAGACAGGAUACCACGUGUCCCGCCCUACUCAUCGAGCUCACAAUAUGUGCAUUUUUGUGUACGGGGCUGUCACCCUGUAUCGCACGCCUUUCCAGACGCUUCCACUAACACACACACUGAUUCAGGCUCUGGGCUGCUCCCCGUUCGCUCGCCGCUACUGGGGGAAUCUCGGUUGAUUUCGUUUUCCUCGGGGUACUUAGAUGUUUCAGUUCCCCCGGUUCGCCUCAUUAACCUAUGGAUUCAGUUAAUGAUAGUGUGACGAAUCUACACUGGGUUUCCCCAUUCGGAAAUCGCCGGUUAUAACGGUUCAUAUCACCUUACCGACGCUUAUCGCAGAUUAGCACGUCCUUCAUCGCCUCUGACUGCCAGGGCAUCCACCGUGUACGCUUAGUCGCUUAA
rnacentral:rRNA from 1 species